CUGAAAGGGGGACUCCGGUCCCCGGGACAAGCCCCCGUCGAGCCCCUUGGGCUCCCCGGGUGGGUGACACCCCCUUACCCUUUGUUUUACCCUACCUCUGUUGCUUUGGCAAGGCCCCUGCCCGGGUGGUUCCAGGCUUGGGCUCUGCCAGAGGGCCCCAACUCGUGGAUAGUUCUUGUUUGUCUGAGUACGAUAUAAUCGUUUA
rnacentral:misc_RNA from 1 species